rnacentral:rRNA from 1 species
UACGUAGGGGGCAAGCGUUGUCCGGAAUCAUUGGGCGUAAAGAGCGUGUAGGCGGCCCGGUAAGUCCGCUGUGAAAGUCCAGGGCUCAACCCUGGGAUGCCGGUGGAUACUGUCGGGCUCGAGUCCGGAAGAGGAGUGUGGAAUUCCUGGUGUAGCGGUGAAAUGCGUAGAUAUCCGGAGGAACACCGGUGGCGAAGGCGGCUUCCUGGACCGACACUGACGCUGAGGCGCGAAAGCCAGGGGAGCAAACGGG